UCUUCGCUAAUUUUAAAUAUUUAAUGUUUAAACUUUUCGAAAAAAGAAGAAUAUACAGAUUUAAAAAUUUUUUUUUUCGGAAAUCGAGGAAUUAUGAAUUCGAAAUUUUGUCUCAAAAAUUCAAUUUCUUGAAAAUCUCCUAUUAAAUUACAUAUUCCAUAAACCUUUCAUCGACGAUCUAAAAUCUACUUCACGAAGAAUAAGAAUCUUAUUUACAACAAUACUUCUCCACCUACUCGAGCGACGUCCAAUAUUCAAAUUUUAAAUAAUUUUUUUUUUGAAAAUCUAAAUGAAUCGCGACACCCUUUUCCAACAUUCAAAUGUUCUCUCUUUGUCUAGAAAAAUAGAAAGCUUGCACUAAAAAAUGCCUAUUAAAAUUCAUAAACCCAUAAAAUACUUCACGAAGAAAAUAAGAAUCUUACUCAACAGUACUUCUCCACCCACUCAAACGCUUUAAACGGGUCCAAAGGAGUGACUUACCCAACUAACUAACACCGGUUUGAAACAACAAACAAAUUCGUGCAUCAAGGGAAAAUCAGCGGAGAGAGGCACGCGUCCGUCCCUCCCCGAUGCGAUUUCGAGCACGAUCGAAAUUCAAAGAGGCACGGGGUAAUGGAGCGUGGAUGGACGAGGCGGGGCGCAGAGGACGCGAAACAAUGUCGACGUUGCGGACCGGUUGCGUAGCCGAUCCUCCUCGCGUAUUUCAGACACGUACUCACUUACAUAGGAAACGUCGUUCCAGCCACGAGUUUUUUAUUCGUUCUUUAUCUUUUCCUCUCUCGCGUCCCACCGCGCCUCCCCUCCCCUUCCCUCGCUCCCCUCUCCCCGAGGCUGCCCGCCUCCUUUAAUAAUUGUCCGAUGGCUCUCAAUAUUCGAGCAGCGAAACUCUCGAUUCUAGCUUUUUCGUCGUCGUGCAACUACGACUACGAAUUAUUCGAUCGUGUAUCAUUCUUUGGUUAUAGUUGGAGCAUUCGUCGAAUUGGAAAUGAAACGUUAACGCUUGCUACGUGGGUAAAUAGCAGGCGAAAAAUAAAAGAGGAAAAAGAUAUCCGACUAUUUAAAAUGCUGGCUAAUAUUCUACGAGGCGAUGAGAAAGUUGACGCACUGUUACGACCUCUCGGCGAAGAUUAAAUAUUUCUUUCUUCAGAGAGGAGGAUAGAAAUUGAAAUAUUUUCGUUCGUCCGUUAUUUGACAAAUUGAACGACAGAAAUAUAAACCAUUGCACGCGAUUGGGAGAAUGUUAAGGCGUGUCGAGCGAUUCAUUAUUGAUCAUUCCAUUAAAAACGCGUGACAAGCAGCAAAUUAGUUUCGCUCCACACUUUUUUACGACUCGUGUAUACGCACCGACUCGAAUCAUCCGCGGAUUAAUUAAUCAACGUCCGCGAUAUUCGCGAACGAGUUCUCGUCACCCUGUGAACUGUCCGCACAGAAUUGCACUCUCUUAAUUUUCACGCUCAUUCACAUUUUUGUAUGUACAAUUUCGACGUUAACUCGACGAACAAUUUCUUUAUUUUCUUUUCUCUUCUGUGCACUCGUCAACACUCGAUUAUCGAACACGAUUUUUCGAGCCGUGCAAAACCAUCUUCCCCCUUCUAUCCCUUUCUCCUCGAACGAAUUCGCCGGGUGGGGGGCGGAGAAGAGGGGAAAGUUGAGAUUCGAAGGAUCGGACGUGCGCGGGUGAAAUCGAGUCGCCGUUUCGAGCUGUUUCGCGGCGGCUGUUUCGAACGAUACUGGCGGGCGCAAGUUCGCGCCGAAAGAAGCGCGGCGGACAACGAAGAAAUGGAAGAAGCGUCGCGGCGCGGAGACGAGAAGCGGAGAAGACGCACGUGUUCCGCGCGUAUGUCAGCUGGAGAUGUUUGCCCGCGACCAGCCGAUCCCUCCGACCUCGACGUCACGUCCUCGAUUUCUUCGCGAGAAAUUCCAAUCGUGUUCUAAUGCAACGCCGAGGGAAUAAGAACAGCAUUUUCCUCGGUGGAACUUUGAUCGCGUGGAAUUUUUUUCCAAUGGAAAGAGAAAGUGAAAGCGAUAACCAGGCGAUAAGCAAAGUGGAUUACUUCAAAUUUUAUCUACGGAUAUAUUCGAUGUAGAUAUUAAACGAUGUAAAAAUGUGAUUAUGAAUCGAUACAAUCGAUAUUUCGAUUGAGAUACGAAUUUUUGAAUUAAAAAAAAAAUACAUAAAUGUAACACGAA